ACUGGUGAGUAACGCGUGGGUGACCUGCCCUGAAGAUGGGGAUAGCUAGUAGAAAUAUUAGAUAAUACCGAAUGUGCUCAUUUACAUAAAGGUAAAUGAGGAAAGGAGCUACGGCUCCGCUUCAGGAUGGGCCCGCGUCCCAUUAGCUAGUUGGUGAGGUAAAGGCUCACCAAGGCAACGAUGGGUAUCCGGCCUGAGAGGGUGAACGGACACAUUGGGACUGAGAUACGGCCCAAACUCCUACGGGAGGCAGCAGCUAAGAAUCUUCCGCAAUGGACGAAAGUCUGACGGAGCGACGCCGUGUGAAUGAAGAAGGCCGAAAGGUUGUAAAAUUCUUUUGCAGAUGAAGAAUAAGAAGAAGAGGGAAUGCUUCUUUGAUGACGGUAAUCAUGCGAAUAAGCCCCGGCUAAUUACGUGCCAGCAGCCGCGGUAACACGUAAGGGGCGAGCGUUGUUCGGAAUUAUUGGGCGUAAAGGGUAUGUAGGCGGUUAGGUAAGCCUGGUGUGAAAUCUACGAGCUCAACUCGUAAACUGCAUUGGGUACUGCUUGACUUGAAUCACGGAGGGGAAACCGGAAUUCCAAGUGUAGGGGUGGAAUCUGUAGAUAUUUGGAAGAACACCGGUGGCGAAGGCGGGUUUCUGGCCGAUGAUUGACGCUGAUAUACGAAGGUGCGGGGAGCAAACAGGAUUAGAUACCCUGGUAGUCCGCACAGUAAAC
rnacentral:rRNA from 1 species